rnacentral:rRNA from 1 species
GGGGGGGGGGGGGGGGGGGGGGGGGGGGGGGGGGGGGGGGGGGGGAGGGGGGGGGGGGGCGGGGGGGAGCGGGGGGCGGGGGAGGAAGGCGGGGGAAUGGGCCGGGUAGGGGGGGAUGACGUCCGGGAACGGGCGCUACUACCGGAUACGUCCUGGGGGGGGGAGUGGGGGAGCUUGGGACCGCACGCUACCAGAGGAGCCUAGGGCGGAUUAGCGAGUUGGUGGGGUAAAGGCCGACCCGGGCGACGAUCCGUAACUGGUCUGAGAGGAUGAGCAGUCACACUGGAACUGAGACACGGUCACGACUCCUACGGGAGGCAGCAGUGGGGAAUAUUGGACAAUGGGCAAAAGCCUGUUCCAGCCAUGCCGCGUGUGUGAAGAAGGUCUUCGGAUUGUAAAGCACUUUAAGUUGGGAGGAAGGGCAGUAAGUUAAUACCUUGCUGUUUUGACGUUACCAACAGAAUAAGCACCGGCUAACUUCGUG